GGCUUUGCAGGGACACCGCAGCCACGGGCCUGGUCCUGCUCCCCAUCUCUUAAUGCAAAAACCACCCUCCGUUACAAAAAGGUGACCGUAUAUUACCAUGUGCAGUAAAUACAGAAUAGUUGGGCGUUCAAAUUUCAUUGGGGUUCCCUCUCCUCGGCCACAGCUCUGAAGAGGAACACGUCCCUGCUGUACGUUGCUGUAACUCCCUGCCAUUCCUGCCCCUCUCAGGAGAAACACCAGUCUCGACUCCACGAGUGUUUCAGCAGCAGAGCCUGUUUCUGACAGCGCAUCAACAGCACGGAGCAAAUUGUGACAGAUAGAAGCAGAGUUCUAGCUAUAAAGCGCUCACUCAGCCUGAAUGUACAGAGAGUACCAUCACACAGACACAGCCCAAAGUGGAAACUGCGUAUUAACCUCAUCGGUCCACGUCUCCAGGGCAAAGCACCAGUGUCCCCAACAGCCUGGUGGUUACAGCCCAGAGCAGAGCUCAGCGGAUCAAGCAAGGGGGGCCCUGAAGCGAAGAAGGUUGAGUCCUACGAAGGUGCCCUGCAAUUCCAUCCAACCAACCUCACCUAAGCACUGACUCAGCAUCCUCCAACCCCAGGAACUGCUCUGGCAUGGAAUUCCUCUGAGCCAGCUGGGAACGUGUGUGGGAUUUUGUUAUUUGUUGAGAUCCUGCUUUUGAGGGAGCUGAAGACAGUAACAAUACUCUGAAUUGAAUCCAGACACGUGUCUAUCUUGUUGCCCAUACGGUCAAUUUUCCAGCUGGGCUGAUGUCAACCAGACUCACUGUGACGUGGAUACAACCUGCUCCAAAAACUGAUAGUUCUGAUCCAAUGGCCACUAACAGCCAUCUGGAUGCAACUCUAAUCUGGGAAAAAAAACCCAUGAAUUUGUGCUCCACAUUGCUAUACAAUUUCAAGGCCUUUUACCAUCUCAUACCUUAAAAUAAGCACGUGAUUUGGCACCUAAAAACAGGCAGUUUGUUCUGCAUCCAGUUCACUGGAAAUGCAUAUGGAGCCAGUCUAUGCUUUUAAGUCACUUGGACACAAAUGCAAUACUUUGCUGACUUUGUUGAGACACACACAGCCUAAUCUAUCAGAGCUUCUACUGUGACAGCUUAUCACAGUUCCUAAACCUGGAUAAUCCACACCACAGUAAGCAUUUUUAUAGCCCUAAGCUUUCUUUCCAUAUCAGCAUAAUUAAAGCAGCAACCUUUGUAAGGACAGUCAGCACAUUCUGUCAUGAGUUUCCUUCUUGCUCUCUGCUUAGAUCAGUGUUCUCUGAUUGGAGGGAGGGAAAGGGGAAAAAAAAAUAAGAGGUAUUUAUUAUUAGGGCAAAAUCUAAAGAGAUGGAGAAUAACAUUAUUUCUCAUCACAUUUGAGGAUUAUCAGUUACACUGAACAGACCUCAACCUUCUGACAGGCCACGCAAUUCAAAGAACAACAAAAUGCAAGCAUUGCUGAAAACCUGCACCUUGUAACAUUUGAGAAGCCACAGAAAGUGACACUUUCUCCUCUCCAUAUGAAUUUAACUGCUGCUAAACCUUCCUUACUUUGCAAAAGCUUUUCCAUACACCUUCA
rnacentral:lncRNA from 1 species